GACAGAGAGACACUCCACUACUCUACUACUGAGGUCCAGAAGACACCAGCAGACAACCAGCAUCAACCAGAAUCUUCCAACUCAGAGGAUGAAGAUCCAGAUUGUGAUACUGCUGUUCGCUCUUGUGAGUGUCCUGUUAGCAGCAAGUACACUCAAUGAAGCUAUCCCCAUGGAAGUGGCUGAAGAUGAAGCAGCUAUUUCUGCGCUUUCUAAAUUUUUUCGCAGAAUGGGGUGAGAAGCGACCAGCAUGGGGCCGUCGGAGAUCCUCUCCAGUCUCCUUAUGGAAUUAACCAUCAGCUAACUGUGACAUCAUCAAUAAGACUACUAUAUCAGUCAAUCAAUCAAA